rnacentral:tRNA from 1 species
GCUGGCUUGGCCGAGUGGUUAAGGCGAUGGUUUUAAGUACUCCCGUUACUUGAAACACCAUUAUCUCUACGAUGCGCAGGUUCGAACCCUGCAGCCAGCA